GCAAGUCGCGCGCACCCUUCGGGGCGAGCGGCGGACGGGUUAGUAACGCGUGGGAAUAUACCCAGUUCUAAGGAAUAGCCUCUGGAAACGGAGAGUAAUACCUUAUACGCCCUUUGGGGGAAAGAUUUAUCGGAGAAGGAUUAGCCCGCGUUAGAUUAGGUAGUUGGUGGGGUAAUGGCCUACCAAGUCUACGAUCUAUAGCUGGUUUGAGAGGAUGAUC
rnacentral:rRNA from 1 species